rnacentral:rRNA from 1 species
AUUAAUAAGCGGAGGAAAAGAAACCAACCGGGAUUCCCCCAGUAAGGGCGACUGAAAGGGGACCAGCCCAGCGCAUAACCUCGUGGUCCGUAGCCGGCCGUCGAGGGGUGUUGCGUUUCGGUGGAUCCGUACCGCUCGAGCUGCUCACCGCCUAAGUCAUUGCUUGAAUGCAGCCCCAAGGAGGGUGGUAGGCCCGUGUGGCGGCGCCUGUAAAAAGGUCCGAGGCAGCUUGGGCGGAGGGGUCUUUACCGUAGAGUCGGGUUGCUUAGUACUGCAGCCCUAAGCAGGUGGUAAACUCCAUCUAAGGCUAAAUACAACCACGAGUCCGAUAUUUGACAAGUACCGUGAGGGAAAGCUGAAAAGGACUCUGAAGAGAGAGUUCAAGAGGACGUGAAACCAUUAGAAGCUCAAACGGGUGGAACCGUGAAGGUCGAAAGAGGGGAUUCAGCCGGCCGGUCUUGGGCGGCGGGUGCGGUACAAGUUGCAUUUCAGUGAGAGGACCCGGCGUAAACGUGUGUUGCCGUGGCCCCGUGCCUGUCGACCUGAGCCCUGUCGGCUUAGUUCUCCCUCGAGUAGUGGUCGUCGCGACCCGCUGGGCGGGCCCCGAGGGCCGCGCCGGACUGGUAGCCUGCACUCUGUUGGAGGCGAUGACCGGCUGCGGUACUGACUGGGCUUGCCCGGCGGUCACUGCAAGGAGGCCGCCUCGCGCGGCCUCUCGCGACGUGAAAGGGAUUGGUAAUCCACCCGA